rnacentral:rRNA from 1 species
GGGUCAUUAGGCUGGUCGUGCCACCGGUACGUACUCGUCUCACUGAUUCCUCCUUCCUGAAGAACCGUAAUGCCAUUAAUUUGGAGUUGCGGGGAAACAGGACUGUUACUUUGAAAAAAUUAGAGUGUUUAAAGCAAUCUAACGCUUGAAUACAUUAGCAUGGAAUAAUGAAAUAGGACGAUCGAUCCUAUUCUGUUGGUUUCUAGGAUUGACGUA